UACGAAGGGGGCUAGCGUUGCUCGGAAUCACUGGGCGUAAAGCGCACGUAGGCGGACUCUUAAGUCGGUGGUGAAAUCCUGGAGCUCAACUCCAGAACUGCCUUCGAUACUGAGAGUCUCGAGUCCGGGAGAGGUGAGUGGAACUGCGAGUGUAGAGGUGAAAUUCGUAGAUAUUCGCAAGAACACCAGUGGCGAAGGCGGCUGACUGGGCCGGUUCUGACGCUGAGGCGCGCAAGCGUGGGGAGCAAACAGG
rnacentral:rRNA from 1 species